rnacentral:rRNA from 1 species
UGAGGAACAUGACCUUCGGCGGGGGAGUAGCCGGCCCAACGGCCGGGUAAUACCGCGUACGACCACUUUGGGACAUCCCUAGGUGGUGAAAGCAGCAAUGCGCCGAUGGAGUGCCUCGCGGCCUAUCAGCUUGUUGGUGAGGUAAUGGCUCACCAAGGCGACGACGGGUAGCCGGCCUGAGAGGGUGACCGGCCACACUGGGACUGAGACACGGCCCAGACUCCUACGGGAGCANCAGG